CUCCCGAUUACCAGCAUCUUCACGUGCUUUCUCUAAUUAGCAUGUUUCUCAGGUGCCCAGAAGGGUAAAGGCAUAUUGUUUUAAAGGAGAAACCGGGGAACAGACGGGAAGACUGCGCAAAGCAUUUCGGAUUUUAGGAACAGCCUGCGCACCACUAUUGCCAUAGAAACCUGAUGUCAUUAUGGCGACUUUGGUGACUGACGACAUUCUAAAAGAGGCCGACUUGCUCGGGUUCGAGAGCAGGGCGCCUCCUUCAGGAGUUUGGACCCAUCUGAGGGUGUGGGCAGAGUUCUCCCCAUGGCCUGAGUCUCAGCCUAGUUCCUCUAAUUAGUGCACUUUCUCAGGUGGUGGCCUGAAGAGUGAAGCCGUCCAGCUUCCAGAGAAAGGUUAGGGGAUUAAUAGGACACCCGCCCAGAGGCAUUUCUGGGGCGGGACCAACCUGCAUCGCGGUUGCCAUAGAAACCUGACGUCAUGAAUGCGACUAUGACGCUAUUCGAAAGGAGACCGACUUGCUAUCCUGAGAAGAGCAGCGUCCAGCCUACAGGUUUUGGUUCUCCGAAGAGGGCGUGGGUUUCUCCGGGUGCGGGCUGAGCCUCCCUGGGGUGUGGGGAGACGAAGAGAUCCCUGGCCCAAGUCGCCUCGUUCCCGCUCUGAGACUUGGUCCUUUGCUGACUGGAGAGGGAGAGAGACUUGGGGCCCUCCUGGCCCCAGGCAUGGUGAUGUCCUGCUCCAGGGUGGCCUGGACCUCCUUUCCAUGUAAAGGCGGGGCGCGGGAGGGUAAGACAGGGAAGCGCCCUCCACUAGGCUUCUCUGUAAAAUGGGGGCAAGAAUGCUCAGCCACGGGAUUGGCAGAACUUUCGGGGAUACCACACGUAUAAGCCCCAUUGCUCUGUGGUUAUUGUGGGAUCACGAAUGCUCACUUCAGUGCCUAGCAUGGUCCACAGAUAUAGUUAUUCCAAUAAAGCAUAGUCAUUUCUGGAUUCUUUCUCCCCCUGGGAAGCUCUUCCUCUGGUGACUGAGCUCAUAUUAAGUGUCUGAAGAAGACAUUUUCUGAAGAUGUGUGUCAUAAUGGCUGCUGAAGCUUCUAUUCCAGAUCUGAAGAGCAAGCAGUGCUCAGGAGGCCCCCCAACACUUGCAUCUCUGUUGGACACAAAUGUGGCAGUUUCUUACUGCACUUCUGAAAUAGUCCAGUAGAAUGAACAGUAAGGCAUUGGCUAAAUGACAAAGGGAGUCAUCAAAUCUGCAUCCCUAUUACUACAACAUCAGUGGAGCACAGAACCUUCUUUGACAUUUUUGUAACCACCUUAUAUUAUCAUGUAACUCUUUGGGAGCCAGACCUGGGCCAAGUGUUAAGUGGGCACCUUGAUACAUACCUCAUGGAGCUGUUGUGAGGAGAACGUGAGCAAUGAGUAUCUCUGGGGACAGUCCCUAACCCACAGUACUACACCAAAUGUAUGUAUUGGCAUACAUCAUCUUCUUUCUACAAACAACAAGACUUUACCAUGGACAGCUCCAGUAUGUCAAUUUGACACCAAGCAGCAAGAAAUUAAAUAUUUACAUAUUUAUAUGAUAGAAGAAUUAUGCUUUCUCUUUGUAUAACAAGUUACCUGAUCAUGGAGUAGAGAGCUCCACUCUUCAAGACCUCUUGGUGAUGGAGAAAGAAGAAAGCCUUUUGGGCCGGUAGAAAUGGGUUGUAGGGUCACAUGAGGUGGCUGAUACCUGAAGUAAAGACCAGGGACAGGCAGAAGCUUAGAUCUUGGGACAGAUUUGCAUCCUAUUUGGCCUCCCUUCCUACGUUCAGGUCCAGAAGUGAAGGAAGGGAAUUCUUAGCAUGGCAUCCUUAUAACCUGAGCCUUAUCAACAUCCUUCAUUCUAUCCUGAAGAUCGACUUCUGAAAGAGAAAAUGUUGGUACAUUUGGAGCCCUCUAAUAAGUACUGUCAUCCUGACAUUCAUAAAGGUGGUGCUUCUUGGACUGCCCAAGGCCACAGAGGAUUUAACAUCAGAGAAGGGUGUGGAUGCUAUACAGAACCAGGAACUCAUAGAGAGGAAGCAAGUGUGGUGUGGAGUCUACUAGACAGGCUACUGGAAAAGAGUGGACUGACCACAAGGAUACUAUAGACCUUUCCUAGUGGAAGUGUCAUCUCAGAUGAUCUUUAAACUUACACAUUCUGAAGCCAUUACAUGGAGUUAUCAGAUGUAGCAAAUAAAAAUACAGGAUGCUAAGGUGUAUUUUAUCUGGCAGGCUUGCACAAGGGGAGCUUGUAGGGUGGAACCAAGGUGCUCCUGUCAACAACCCCAGCUGACCUCCCAAGAAAUGACAUCAGCACUCAUGAUUCAUGGAAGUGAGCUCUCUCAGAUGUUCCAGAUGAGUGGAGCUCCAGAUGACAGAGAUGACAACACCAUGGGGAGAGUUAGCCUUAAAUGACAGAUACUACAUAGAGGAAAAAAAUACCUACUCAUCCUUGUCAAUACACAGACACCAGAAUGAUAAUAAAUGGGUAUUGCUUGAGAAUUUUAAGCAAAAAUGGAAAUCACUCCUGUGGUCUAAGGUGUAUUAUUUCUAUUUUUUUGUGGUUUGCUAUCAUUGCACAAUAUAGGAAUUCUAUUAUAUCUGAAAGGUCUGGCUAUAAUUUUGGCUAUAAUCUGUAGGACAUUUUGUUUGUGGGUGUCAAGUUCUGAACAUUUCCUGAAUUCCUCUGUGAAGCAAUUUCCAAAGGAAUUUUCUCUAUGUGAUUUUUCACACCUCUUCGGGAAUUUGGAACCUAAUUCAAACCCAUCUCCAUAAGAUGAGCAUCCACUGCAAUCAUUCAUGUUCAUGAAUUGAGAAGACUUUAGUACUAAGUGUACCCUGAGCCAUAUGAAAAACUUUCUUCAGCAGGUUUUGUAAUGAGUUUGUAAUAAUGACAAGGGACAUUUAUUCACCUUAAAAAGUGUUGUUCUGAAACACCGUGUCCUGCUACAGGGGUUGUCCUUGGCAAGGAAUCACUUUCAUUAGGCUCACACAGACAAGACUCCUUCAUUAGUCAGCUGGUGGGUAUGCAUUAUAGCCCUUGGCCUUUGUGACUGUCCCUAAACAGCCCUGCAGGUUGGAUAAGGCUGCGCAAUUCUGGGGAUCAUUAGUAAGAUGCUCACUGGCAAGCCAAUCUAAGUCACAUUCUUCAAUAUCAGCUUUAUAGAAAUAUGUUGAUGUGAUGUUCUUCAUCUUUGGUCACAUAGCUCAGUUGGUGUAAAGCUCACAUUUGGAGCAUCAGGCUCUUUUUGGUUCUCCUUAAAGACACUAACACAGUGAAGUAAAGUAAAAGCAACAAUAUUUAGAGUAAAAAAACAAAAAUUGGGCUGAGGUUUUAGCUCAGUGGUAGAGUAUCUAGCAUAUGCAAACUCUGCAUCUAAGCCCCAACACUGAAAGAUGAAGAGAGAAUGAAGAGAGACAAAGCAAGAGAAGAGCUGUGGGCCCAUUUUAAGACCAACCUCAGGGGGUAGAGCAGAACAAGUGUUCCUUAGAAUUUUGAGGGAAAAGGGCCUGGAUGGGAAACCCCUAUUGAUCCCCCCAUAUUAAGUCAUUCUUUUGGUUCAGGAGUGGAUAUAUAGAGAGGGAGAUGUGUUUUCUCAUGGGUAUCUUUUGAUAUUGAAGAAAAUAUCAUGGUAGUGAUUAAGAAUUCUUCAGGAUCAAUCAAUGUAUCGAUGACUUGACUAGCUUUCUACUUACUAAAUGACAAUAUUAUUCUACUUCUGCCUCUGUGAAAUAUACCAUUCCCCAAAUGACAUUUUUUGGUGUUUGUAGAUCAUAUAGAGUAGUAGUUGAGGACAGUCUCUUAGUUUUCUAUCAAUUGGCUAACUGCUUACAAUGGUAUAUUUUACAUGCUCACCUUUUGAGGGCUAGCUCAUUUCCAAGAGCCCUAGGAGAUAUUCCUGGGACUCUGUGUGUUGUACUAUACCCCUAGUGUCACCUUUAGAGCUAGGACAAUUCCUGAAAACAAGGACUUGCUUUUUUUCUUCCAAACUGGUCAGAGUUUCUGAAAUUGCCUUGGCCCCACCUAGUCCCUCUAAUUAGUGUGGUUUCUCAGGUAGUGGCUUGAAGAGUGGAGCAAUUUUGUUCUCAGUUAAAAGGAAGAAGCCAAAGAGCCAAGAAGAAACGCUUCCAAUUUGAUGGAACAGCCAGAGCUCGCAGUUGCCAUAGUAACCUCACCUCAACAAAGUGACCUUGACCACUUUUUCCUGGAGACUUCCCUCAUGAAGCAGGGCGCCUCCUUCAGGAAUUUGGACCCAUCUGAGGGUGUGGGCAGAGUUCUCCCCAUUGCCUGAGUCUCAGCCUAGUUCCUCUAAUUAGUGCACUUUCUCAGGUGGUGGCCUGAAGAAUGAAGGUGUUUUGCUUUUAUAGAAAGGCACAGGGACAAAAGGAGGCCCGUGCAGAAGCUGAGUACCAACCAGCCCAUCGCGGUUGCCAUAGAAACAUGACGUCAUUAUGGCAACUGUGAAGACAUUCUAAAGGAGACCAACUUGCUGUGGUCCCAGAGUAGGGCCCCACCAACAGGUCUUUGGACUCAGGGGAAGGUGUGGGUGCCCCGCUGUGGGGCUGAGCCUCCCUGGGAAAAGGGGGAGACAAAGGGAUCCCUGACCCAAAUUGCCUAGUUUCUGUUCUGGGACUUUUUGCCCCCCUGAUGUGAGAGGGAGAGAGACUGGGGUCCUCCUGGCCCCAGUGAUGUCCCACUGCAGGGUGUCCUGGACCUCCUUUGAAUGUAAAGGCGGGGGCAGGAGGGUAAGACAGGGAAGCGCCCUCUGUGACCCAGCUUGUCCUCUGUAAAAUGUGGGUAGGGGGGGCAGGAGGGUAAGACAGGGAAGCGCCCUCUGUGACCCAGCUUGUCCUCUGUAAAAUGUGGGUAGGAAUGCUCCCCCACGGCACUGCUGGAACCUUCUGGAAUAACACAGGUGUAAGCCCCAUUGCUCUGUGGUUAUUUGUGGGAUCCCGAAUGCUCCAUGCUUAGCAUGGUUCCAUGGAUAUAGCUAUUCCAACAAAACAGUAACUUCUGGAUUCUGGUUCCCUCUGGGCAGCUCUUCGUCUGGUCACUGAGCUCAUAUCAAGUGUCUGAAGAAGACAGUUUCUGAGGAUAUGCGUCAUUUUGGCUGCUGAAGCUUCUGCUCCAGAUCUGAAGGGCAGCAGUGCUCAGGAGACCCCCAACACUUCCAUCCCUGAUAUAAGAUCUCUUCCUCUGGUGACUGAGCUCCUAUCAAGAGUCUGAAGAAGACAGUUUCUCCGGAUGUGGGUCAUGAGGGCUGCUGAAAUGUCUUCUCCAGAUCUGAAGGGCAGCAUGCUCAGGAGACCUUCAAUACUUCCAUCCUAGUAAGAGAUAAUGCCUGACUUAAGUGAUUUCACAGCUCUGAACAAGAGUAUAUGGUCUAACUAAAAGGAACAAAGAAAGAAAAAUUAAAGAGUAUAUUGUAGAAUACCACACAUAAGGUUCACAAAAUAGCCAGAAAGUAAAGAAGCUAUUUUGAUCUUAUCCUUGAAGAGGUUUAGCAGUUAGAAUUAGCCUUCAGAAGCUGCCAUGCUUCAUAGUAGUCCUUGAGGCCAUAUUAGUGAUGAGUUUCAUUGUCACAAAGUAAUGAAUAUUUCUGUAAGGAACUUGCUGUUUAACGCACAUAUGCAAUAACUAUGUUUUCAACAAAUCUCAUGUAUCUCUCAUUAUGUGUGUGGAAAUAUGUAGUUGAUGACAAGGAAGGUCCUUCUAGAAAUUGGAAAUUGUAGAUAUAGUUUUAUCCAUUGUCUAAUGAUUAUUUUUAAGUCAAAACUGCCCCAAGAAUGAGUUUAAAAUGUCACUAAUAAGAAAUUAAUUUUUUUAAAGUAACAAUUACUUUUGUGUUUGCCAUAUUAUAGUGAUACCCAGUAACAUCUUUCAAAUGACCAGGUUCUCUUAAGUACUAUUAUGAUUAUUUUCCCAGAAUAUCACAUUUCCAGAACAUUCUCCCCUCAUCAUGCUGUGCCUGGGAAAACACUGAUGUUUUGUUAACAGAUUAGUUUUGAUUUCUUAUAUUUUAUUUAAAUGGAAUCAGAUGGCUCAUAUUUUUUGAUCGGCCUUGUUUUAUUUAGCUUACAUAUUUGUUUUAGCUUUUAAAAUUAUCUUAGCCAUGAACAGAUGAAACAGCAGAAGCAUUAUUUAUGAAUAUUUGAAAAAGUCUUUCUUGAAUACUCAGUACAUACUAUCCACUACAGGAAGAUAUGUAUUCGAGAAACAGACAUUCCCAGUUCUCUUGUGAAAUACCUAAAUAUCCAUUUUACAUACACUGAAGGAGAAAUACUUAAUUGGUUUAUCUUCAAAUUUAAGAUUAUAAUAAAUAUUUUACAAAUGAAUAAAAUACUUUGGAAUUAUUAAACUUUCCUCAAAAAAGGAUAAUAUGUGGAGAGAAUGUAUUUGUCCCCAUCCCUGAAUUUUGAUAUGUUGCAGCCCUAAUUCCCAGUGGGAUAUUAUUUGAAUGUAUUCCCUGUAAGUUUAGAUGAGGAUAUGAAGGUAGCCUUAUAAGAAUGUGGAUGUGAGAUAUCUGUCACUCAGCCACAUGAGGAUGCUGCAGGUAGGCAGUAUAUGCACACUAGCAUGAGGUCCAAGGGACAAUAACAAUAUUGAUAGUUUUCCCUGUUGUAAAGCAAGGUUUUGGGAUUUGAUGAUGAUAAAAAUCAAACCAAAGCAUUGG